rnacentral:rRNA from 1 species
GAUGAACGCUAGCGGCAGGCUUAACACAUGCAAGUCGAGGGGCAGCAUGAUUGAACUUUCGGGUUCGGUUGAUGGCGACCGGCGCAAGGGUGCGUAACGCGUGAGCAACUUGCCCGUUUCAGGGGGAUAACCGGUGGAAACGCCGACUAAUACCCCAUGGCAUCAUAUUGAGGCAUCUUUAUAUGAUUAAAGAAUUUCGGAAACGGAUAGGCUCGCGUGACAUUAGCUAGAUGGCGGGGUAACGGCCCACCAUGGCGACGAUGUCUAGGGGUUCUGAGAGGAAGGUCCCCCACACUGGAACUGAGACACGGUCCAGACUCCUACGGGAGGCAGCAGUGAGGAAUAUUGGUCAAUGGUCUGACGACUGAACCAGCCAUGCCGCGUGAAGGUCACGGCCCUAUGGGUCUUAAACUUCUUUUGUGAGGGAGCAAUAAGGCGCACGUGUGCGUCGAUGAGAGUACCUCGCGAAUAGCAUCGGCCAACUCCGUG